AACGAACGCUGGCGGCAUGCCUAUCACAUGCAAGUCGAACGAGAUCUUCGGGUCUAGUGGCGCACGGGUGCGUAACGCGUGGGAAUCUGCCCUUUGGUUCGGAAUAACAGUUGGAAACGACUGCUAAUACCGGAUGAUGACGAAAGUCCAAAGAUUUAUCGCCAGAGGAUGAGCCCGCGUAGGAUUAGCUAGUUGGUGUGGUAAAGGCGUACCAAGGCGACGAUCCUUAGCUGGUCUGAGAGGAUGAUCAGCCACACUGGGACUGAGACACAGCCCAGACUCCUACGGGAGGCAGCAGUGGGGAAUAUUGGACAAUGUGCUAAAGCCUGAACCAGCAAUGCCGCGGGAGUGAUGAAGGCCUUAGGGUUGUAAAGCUCUUUUACCCGGGAUGAUAAUGACAGUACCGGGAGAAUAAGCGCCGGCUAACUCCGAGCCAGCAGCCGCCGUAA
rnacentral:rRNA from 1 species